UUAAACAAAUCUUACAUCUCUCCUGUUUCAGUCGUCUAAAACUCCGCAAUCAGGAACACACACACUCCUUCCUUCUGCAUCUGGAGCUGCUGCUGAAGAUUUUUUUGGGGGGUAUCAGUCCUAUUUCAAUUAUUUAUUGUAAUGUAUUUUUUUUUUUUGCUAACGGUCGCAUUUGUUCAUUUGUUUUGUGUUCAGUGGGCUAUUUCCACAGGGUUUUAAAUAGAAAUGCAACAUAAUAUUUGGGAAAAACCCGACAAUAAAGCACACUGACGUGGCUAAUGGGCGCCGCGCUUCCCGUUUACAGAGUGCAACUCAGGAUGGCAGUGCUACUAUUCAAAAAGCAAGCUCCAUGAAGUUAUGGCUCUGAACUCAACCCUAAUGAACACCUUUAGGAUGAAUUGGAAUGCUGACUGCAAUCCAGACCGCUUUACCCUACAUCAGUACAUUACUUUACUAACACCCUUGUGGCUGAAUGAAUCUCCAGAAGCACACUCCAAAAUCUAGUGGAACAUCUUCCCAGAAGAGUGGAGGUUAAUAAACGGCAAAAUGUUGUAGUGCAAAAGGUUAAAACUGAUUUUUAUUUUAUAUAAAUUCUAUUUCACAUUAAAAUGCUGCUCUCCUCUAUAUUUAUAUGUUU